GAUGAACGCUGGCGGCGUGCCUAAUACAUGCAAGUCGAGCGAACAGACGAGGAGCUUGCUCCUCUGACGUUAGCGGCGGACGGGUGAGUAACACGUGGAUAACCUACCUAUAAGACUGGGAAACUUCGGGAAACCGGAGCUAAUACCGGAUAAUAUAUUGAACCGCAUGGUUCAAUAGUGAAAGACGGUUUUGCUGUCACUUAUAGAUGGAUCCGCGCCGCAUUAGCUAGUUGGUAAGGUAACGGCUUACCAAGGCAACGAUGCGUAGCCGACCUGAGAGGGUGAUCGGCCACACUGGAACUGAGACACGGUCCAGACUCCUACGGGAGGCAGCAGUAGGGAAUCUUCCGCAAUGGGCGAAAGCCUGACGGAGCAACGCCGCGUGAGUGAUGAAGGUCUUCGGAUCGUAAAACUCUGUUAUUAGGGAAGAACAAAUGUGUAAGUAACUAUGCACGUCUUGACGGUACCUAAUCAGAAAGCCACGGCUAACUACGUG
rnacentral:rRNA from 1 species